AUUGAACGCUGGCGGCAGGCCUAACACAUGCAAGUCGAACGAGUGGCGGACGGGUGAGUAAUGUCUGGGCAACUGCCCGAUGGAGGGGGAUAACUACUUGAAAAGGUAGCUAAUACCGCAUACCAUCGGAUGUGCCCAUAUGGGAUUAGCUAGUUGGGGGGGUAACGGCUCACCUAGGCGACGAUCCCUCGCUGGUCGGAGAGGAUGACCAGCCACACGGGAACUGAGACACGGCCCAGACUCCUACGGGAGGCAGCAGUGGGGAAUAUUGCACAAUGGGGGCAAGCCUGAGGCAGCCAUCCCGCGUGUAUGAAGAAGGCCUUCGGGUGGUAAAGUACUUUCAGCGAGGAGGCGUUACUCGCAGAAGAAGCACCGGCUAACUCCGUGCCAGCAGCCGCGGUAAUAC
rnacentral:rRNA from 1 species